rnacentral:lncRNA from 1 species
ACCCAAGAGUUACCAUGCAUGAUCCGUGAAUGAUGGGUAUCAGGCCUGGACCAGGUUUGAUUCUAUAACGGUCCAGCAUCGACCGCCAUCACUGCUGAAUCGAGGCUGUUGCACUGGCCUGGACCAGUAUCUAUUUCAGUCCCGAUGUAGUCAUAGCUGAUACAGUAAUGUCUGUUCGUCAGCACUGGUCCAGGCUGUAUAUCAGUACUGGAUCAGAUCGAUGCUUUUCAAGAUGGCAGCCCCGCGUGGACUAUCUGACAUGUUUUGUUAAAGAAAAUCAUCUUAAUCUGACUCUUUAAGAGGAAUCUUGUUGGCUGUAUACACUAGGGCUAAAUCACUGGAUGUUAUUAUUGAGCCAAGCAUUGAAACAGAGCCAGAAGACCUUUCUGCAAUAAUCAUGACACUAGUGAAGACAAUGAGGAAUCAGGCGUAAAAAUGGUUCACUACAUGUGAUUGUAACUAUGUUUUUAAUUAGGGUGAAUGUAUUAGUGAUCAUGAUGAUGAAGAUAUUGUACUGAGAGACUUAUGAAUGAUAGUCACAAGUGUGAAUUUUUGAUGCGGAAGAUUAUUCUGGAAAUAUUAGUAUAGUAGGUGCUCCUUUAAUUCAUAUUAAUUUAUUAAUUUAGCAAGGCCACUAGUAUACAUUCUAUAGUUACCUUAUCUCACUAAGUUUCAA